UACAGAGGUCCCAAGCGUUGUUCGGAUUCACUGGCGUAAAGGGUGCGUAGGCGGUCGGGUAAGUCUGAUGUGAAAUCUCACAGCUUAACUGUGAAACUGCAUUGGAUACGUAUCCGGCUCGAGGAAUGGAGGGGAGACUGGAAUACUUGGUGUAGCAGUGAAAUGCGUAGAUAUCGAAGUGGAACACCAGUGGCGAAGGCGAGUCUCUGGACAUUUCCUGACGCUGAGGCACGAAAGCCAGGGAGCAAACGGG
rnacentral:rRNA from 1 species